rfam:Maize necrotic streak virus, complete genome.
GCACUAGGCACGGUUCACCCCCAUCCUUCGGGAGGGCUAUAGGGGGUGACCGGGUUACACCACCGGAAGACCGGAACAUUGCCUUUGGGCAGCCC